UACGAAGGGGACUAGCGUUGUUCGGAAUUACUGGGCGUAAAGCGCACGUAGGCGGAUUUGUAAGUCAGGGGUGAAAUCCCGGGGCUCAACCUCGGAACUGCCUUCGAUACUGCGGGUCUCGAGUCCGGGAGAGGUGAGUGGAAUUCCUAGUGUAGAGGUGAAAUUCGUAGAUAUUAGGAAGAACACCAGUGGCGAAGGCGGCUCACUGGCCCGGUACUGACGCUGAGGCGCGAAAGGCGUGGGGAGCAAACAGG
rnacentral:rRNA from 1 species